CGGAGCGUAGCGCAGUCCGGUUAGCGCGCAUGGUUCGGGACCAUGAGGCCGGAGGUUCAAAUCCUCUCGCUCCGA
rnacentral:tRNA from 1 species